rnacentral:piRNA from 1 species
CCAGUGGAGAAGGGUGUGAAUUCA